GUCGAGCGAACAGAUAAGGAGCUUGCUCCUUUGACGUUAGCGGCGGACGGGUGAGUAACACGUGGGUAACCUACCUAUAAGACUGGGAUAACUUCGGGAAACCGGAGCUAAUACCGGAUAACAUUUGGAACCGCAUGGUUCUAAAGUGAAAGAUGGUUUUGCUAUCACUUAUAGAUGGACCCGCGCCGUAUUAGCUAGUUGGUAAGGUAACGGCUUACCAAGGCGACGAUACGUAGCCGACCUGAGAGGGUGAUCGGCCACACUGGAACUGAGACACGGUCCAGACUCCUACGGGAGGCAGCAGUAGGGAAUCUUCCGCAAUGGGCGAAAGCCUGACGGAGCAACGCCGCGUGAGUGAUGAAGGGUUUCGGCUCGUAAAACUCUGUUAUUAGGGAAGAACAAAUGUGUAAGUAACUGUGCACGUCUUGACGGUACCUAAUCAGAAAGCCACGGCUAACUACGUGCCAGCAGCCGCGGUAAUACGUAGGUGGCAAGCGUUAUCCGGAAUUAUUGGGCGUAAAGCGCGCGUAGGCGGUUUCUUAAGUCUGAUGUGAAAGCCCACGGCUCAACCGUGGAGGGUCAUUGGAAACUGGGAAACUUGAGUGCAGAAGAGGAAAGUGGAAUUUCCAUGUGUAGCGGUGAAAUGCGCAGAGAUAUGGAGGAACACCAGUGGCGAAGGCGACUUUCUGGUCUGUAACUGACGCUGAUGUGCGAAAGCGUGGGGAUCAAACAGGAUUAGAUACCCUGGUAGUCCACGCCGUAAACGAUGAGUGCUAAGUGUUAGGGGGUUUCCGCCCCUUAGUGCUGCAGCUAACGCAUUAAGCACUCCGCCUGGGGAGUACGACCGCAAGGUUGAAACUCAAAGGAAUUGACGGGGACCCGCACAAGCGGUGGAGCAUGUGGUUUAAUUCGAAGCAACGCGAAGAACCUUACCAAAUCUUGACAUCCUUUGAAAACUCUAGAGAUAGAGCCUUCCCCUUCGGGGGACAAAGUGACAGGUGGUGCAUGGUUGUCGUCAGCUCGUGUCGUGAGAUGUUGGGUUAAGUCCCGCAACGAGCGCAACCCUUAAGCUUAGUUGCCAUCAUUAAGUUGGGCACUCUAGGUUGACUGCCGGUGACAAACCGGAGGAAGGUGGGGAUGACGUCAAAUCAUCAUGCCCCUUAUGAUUUGGGCUACACACGUGCUACAAUGGACAAUACAAAGGGCAGCUAAACCGCGAGGUCAUGCAAAUCCCAUAAAGUUGUUCUCAGUUCGGAUUGUAGUUUGCAACUCGACUACAUGAAGCUGGAAUCGCUAGUAAUCGUAGAUCAGCAUGCUACGGUGAAUACGUUCCCGGGUCUUGUACACACCGCCCGUCACACCACGAGAGUUUGUAACACCCGAAGCCGGUGGAGUAACCAUUUAUGGAGCUAGCCGUC
rnacentral:rRNA from 1 species